rnacentral:tRNA from 1 species
GGGGUUGUAGCUCAGCAGUAGAGCACUUGCCUUAUAUACAUGAGGCACUGAGUUUGAUUCCCAGCACCA